rnacentral:rRNA from 1 species
GAAAUUAAGUUAUUACUUAUUGUUUUAGGUAAGAAAUUUUGUUAUCUGAGGUUUUAGUUUUUGAAAGAAACGUCUAAUUUUUUAGUAAUGGUGAGUGAAAGAUAUUAUUUUGUGAGAGAGAAUAAGUACUGUAAAGGAAUUGAUGUUGGGAGUUUUUUUUAAGUAAGGAUGAAAAUCUGUACCUUUUGUAUCAUGGCUUUUUUAGUUUUAUUUUUAUAUAAAGAAUACCCGAAAAUGACCGAGCUAUUUCUUGACUUUGCGUCAACGUUGUAGAGUUGUGCUAAGAUUAAGAAAUUGGAGUGAAAUGCUUUUCGCGGUUUUUGAUUGCUGGUUGGUUGAGAGAUAUAUCAAAGUAUAGAUCUAUUUUGAGUUUAAUUUGAUAACUAGUUUAAUGAUGGUUUAGAGUUAUUUUAGUUUAUGUUGAAUUGCAAUAAUAGAAUUCACAAAUGAAAGGAUAAGCUUUUGUUUGAACUUAAGAGGAUGUAUAAGUGGAUUUAAUUGAUUGAUUUAAUGGGCUUAAAAUUGGCCACUUAGUAGUAAGUUUUUUAUAAAAUAUUUUGCUUGCUUAAUUUUGAAGCAUAUGCUAUUCGAAGAUUUUUAUUUAUGUUUCUCUAAGAUAGGGCAAUAUUUCUUAGAAUAUUGUUGGUGGUAUCGACUCUAUGGAUAGAAUUAGAGAAUUCAUUUGUUUCUGGAAAGAUGAGUAUUAAUGUAAUAAUUUGGUUUCAUUUAAAUUAGUUGAUUUAUGGAGGUUAAAUUAUUUGUUUUUAUUUGGAAAUUUUAUGUUGUUAGUAUGAAAUGAAGUAAUUUCGUGCUCAAUGUAAGUUAUAAAUUAAAUUUAGUUAAAAGGAAUUCGGCAAAAUUUAGUUCCGCCUGUUUAUCAAAAACAUCGCUCUCUGUAAGAAUUGUUGAAUAUAGAGAGUCGAGCCUGCCCAGUGACUAAAGUGUUAAACGGCCGCGGUACCCUGACCGUGCAAAGGUAGCAUAAUCAUUUGCCUUUUAAUUGGAGGCUUGUAUGAAUGGUUUGACGAGAACUAAGCUGUCUCUUUCUAAAUUUUUAGAAAUUAAUUUUUAGGUGAAGAAGCUUAAAUUUAAUUGAGGGACAAGAAGACCCUAUUGAGCUUGAGUGAAAUUGUAAAUUUUAAGGAUCUUAUACUGUAUCUGUAUAGUUUUUGUUCCGUAAAUUAACGGAAAUAAAGUUUAUAAUUAAUCUUUAGUUGGGGCGACUUAGGAACAAUAAAAGCUUCCUUGUAUCAUUUAAGGUAUACAGAUUAAACAGGAUCCAGUAGGUUACUGAUCAACGGAAAAAGUUACCAUAGGGAUAACAGCGUAAUCUUUCUGGAGAGUUCUUAUUGAAAGAAGGGUUUGCGACCUCGAUGUUGGACUAAGAUAUCCUGGGGGUGUAGAGGCUUCCAAAGGUUGGUCUGUUCGACCAUUAAAAUCUUACAUGAUCUGAGUUCAGACCGGCGUGAGCCAGGUUGGUUUCUAUCUUCAAUUAAUAAAUAUCGAUUUUUGGUUAGUACGAAAGGAUCACCAUCAAAAUAAAAAAUUUAUUUUAAUGAAUUAAUAUAAUUUGUUAGUAAGUAUUUAAUUAAUAGAGAUAAGC